rnacentral:rRNA from 1 species
GACGGAGGGUGCUAGCGUUGUUCGGAAUUACUGGGCGUAAAGGGCGCGUAGGCGGCCAUGUAAGUCGGGUGUGAAAGCCCGGGGCUCAACCCCGGAACGGCACCCGAGACUGUGUGGCUCGAGACCGGAAGAGGUGAGUGGAAUACCCAGUGUAGAGGUGAAAUUCGUAGAUAUUGGGUGGAACACCGGUGGCGAAAGCGGCUCACUGGCCCGGUUCUGACGCUGAGGCGCGAAUGCGUGGGGAGCAAACAGG